UCCCACCGCCUUCCACUACUCGGCUCAGACACAACACGGCCGUGGGAAAUUUCCUAAACCUCGCGAGAACGUGCCCCCUGUUGCCUAAGCUUUCGCCCCAAAUCUCGCGGAGCCAAGGCAGGACAGUAGACGGAGUUUUACCGUGUUAGUCAGGAUGGUCUCGAUCUCCUGACCUCGUGAUCCGCCCGCCUCGGCCUCCCAAAGUGCUGGGAUUACACGCCUGAACCACCGCGCCUGGCAGCAAUUGGUUGUUUUCUUUCUAAUCUACCCGCUGGCCCUGUGAGCUGGGUAGAAAAAUAAAUAAAUAAAUAAACAAACAAACAGCUCUGCGCUCUCGCCUUGUUGCCUUGUAUAGAUUCUUGCUCCCGUUUAAGGACACGAUUUUUAAAAUUUCUUGUCAGUCUCUUCUUAGCCUUUUGAAGUAAUCUUACAAAUCAGUUUCUGUUCUGUUUUUUCCUCCCACUAAUAUGGCUUUUUUGCUUUCCGUCACCUUUCCGUAUUUGUAUUGCAAUAUUCCAUUUUACGUAUUGCUGCGGCAGGUGCUAUAGUGACUACUGUUUUAAAUGCAGCCCUUCCUUUUGGAUCAUUCGUCCAAUGAGUUCCUGAUUACGUAAAUUCUUCAAUUAGCCACGUUUCAGAUUGGCCCUGAUGUGGUUUCUAUACCAGCCUUAGCCUGGCAUUAUCUAGGAACCAGUGUCUUCCUGCUUACGUCACAGCCCCGCAAAUGUAGAGUUGAAUUGAAUUUUGGUAUUUGGAGGACAGUGAGUUCUCUGAUAGGAGGAAACCCAGGUUUUUAAGUUGUUUUCAAGGUUUUAGGGGUGUGUGUGUGUGUGUUUGCCUAUUCUUUUGAUUAUAUACACAGAAAAAAACAGACUUAAAACCAUUUGGUGCAAUAUCUCAGUGCAAGUCUGGCUUGGAACAGGAUAGCUCAGGAGGAGGAUAAAGCCCUUGAAGCACAUAUUCCUUGGAGCUGUCAUCCCAAGAAGGUAUUUCAGUCAUGGCCUAGUCCAGAUCACUGAUCUAAUUUGGAAUCAUGGCCUUCUGAGAGCCCCAGCGACUUUGGGAAGCCAUGGUAACCACAAAGGGAAUGACAGCUCCCCCUUUUUGCCCUAAAACAUGCUCCAUCUGCAGCCCUCCCCCAUCUCAGGAAAGGACAACUCCAUUCUUCCACUUAUGUCAAGAACCUUGGAGUCCUUGCCUCCUUUCUCACACCCAAGAUACAAUUGGACGGAAAAUCCUACUGGCUCCACCUUCAGAAUAUACUCACAUUCCAAAUACUGUCACACCUCUUUGGCUACUAGCCUAGUCUAACCCAUCUUAUUUCCCACCUGGUUUAAGGAAGUUCCCUAACUGGUCCUCCCUUCUUCCGUUCUUGCCUUCCCUCAGUCUGUGCUAAUAGAGCAUUCUCAGUGGCCCUCUAGAACUCCUCCAUGACUUUCCCAUUUCACUAUGAGGACUUAGACAAUGUUGCCUACUGCCAAACCCCCCUGAUCUAUCUGCCUUCACCUCCUCCUCUACCUCUCUCUCUGUGGGCUCUCACCAGUUGCCUUCCUUACUGUUCCUGGGAUGCCCCAAGCACACUUUCAGCUCCAAGCCUUUGCUUUUUCCACUACCUGGAAUGCUCUUCCCUCAUAUACCUUAUAGCUCAUUCCCUCACUCCUUUCUUGUCUUUGCCUGAUGUCACCUCCUCAGGGAGGCCUUCCCUGACACCCUUCCCAAGAGGGACUCCCAUACUCCUUAUCCCCCUUUCUGCUUGAUUUUGUCCAUGGCACCUAUCAUUAACUAACAUAACAUUUAUCAUACUUGUGUGUUGUGUUUACUAUCUGCCUCCUUCCAUUAUAAUGUAAUAUUAAUAAGGGCAAGGACUUUUGUCUAGUUUGUUCAUUAUUCAAGCUUUAGCUGCUGGAACAAUGCCUGGUGUAUUGUAUUUGUAGAAUGAAUGGGGUGUUUUCCACUUUAGGGCAGAGUAAAAAUGAUUCUGAAGACUAAGCCUCCAAGGGUUCAAAACAAUAUUAGGACUAGACUAGCAGUGAGUACUAGCCUGCCUAGGGAGGAGAAAAAGGCAUAUGGAGCAACCACCUGUGUUGGUUUUUUGCAAAAAAAAAAAAAGUCUUCUGGGUUAGACCAGUAGAUGAGGCUGCACUUAACUUUAAGAGUUUCCUUUACUCUCCAUUUUAGAACUUCAGGAAAAAAACAACAAAAACACCACUAGCCGGAUAUGUGUAUAUAUAUAUAUAUAUAUAUAAAAUAUAUGAAUAUGUGUAUAUAUAUAUAUAUGAAUGUGUAUAUAUAUAUGAAUGUGUAUAUAUAUAUAUAUAUGAAUGUGUAUAUAUAUAUAUAUAUAUAUAUAUAUGUUGUGGGAAGUCAGGGACCCUGAACAGAGAGACUGGUUGGAGCCACUGCAGAGGAACAUAAAUUGUGAAGAUUUCAUGGACAUUUAUCACUUCCCUAAUAAUUCUCUUAUAAUUUCUUAUGCCUGUCUUACUUUAAUCUCUUAAUCCUGUUAUCUUCGUAAGCUGAGGAUGUACGUCACCUCAGGACCACUGUUGUACAAAUUGAUUGUAAAACGUGUGUUUGAACAAUAUGAAAUCAGUGCACCUUGAAAAAGAAUGGAAUAACAACGAUUUUAGGGAACAAGGGAAGACAACCAUAAGGUCUGACUGCCUGCGGGGUCGGGCAAAAAGAGCCAUAUUUUUCUUCUUGCAGAGAGCCUAUAAAUGGAUGUGCAAGUAGGAGAGAUAUUACUAAAUUUUUUUCCUAGCAAGGAAUAUUGAUAAUUAAUACUCUGGGAAAAGAAUUGCAUUCCUGGGGGGAGGUCUAUAAACGGCUGCUCUGGGAGUGUCUGUCUUAUGUGGUUGAAAUAAGGACUCAAAUAUGCCCUAGUCCCCUGCAGUACCCUCAGGCUUAUUAGGGUGGGGAAAAAAUCCUGCCCUGGUAAAUUUGAGGUCAGACCGGUUCUCUGCUCUAGAACCCUGUUUUCUGUUGUUUAAGAUGUUUAUCAAGAGAAUAUGUGCACAGCUGAACAUAAACCCUCAUCAGUAAUUCUAAUUUUGCCCUUUGACUUGUGAUCUUUGCUUUUGUCCUUGCCCUGUUUCCUCAGAAGCAUGUGAUCUUUGUUCUCCUUUUUGCCCUUUGAAGUAUGUGAUCUUUGUGAACUACUCCCUGUUCGUACACCCCCUCCCUUUUUGAAAUCCUUAAUAAAAACUUGCUGGUUUUGCGGCUCAGGUGGGCAUCACAGACCUACCGAUAUGUGAUGUCACCCCCGGCGGCCCAGUUGUAAAAUUCC